AAAAUAAUACAAUAAGUGUUUCUCAGUUUGACAGAGGGGUUGAUAUUGAAUGGAUGGACAAAUAUAUAUUUCUCAAAGACUAAAAUUCAAAAAUAGUAAUAGCCUAUUCCAUUUACA